AUCUAGCUGACGAGUACUAAAAUAAGACGAAACGCACGUCAAAAUGGAU
rnacentral:hammerhead_ribozyme from 1 species